rnacentral:rRNA from 1 species
UACGGAGGGAGCUAGCGUUGUUCGGAAUUACUGGGCGUAAAGCGUGCGCAGGCGGUUUGCUAAGACAGGUGUGAAAUCCCCGGGCUUAACCUGGGAACUGCGCUUGUAACUGGCAAGCUAGAGUGUGGCAGAGGGGGGCGGAAUUCCACGUGUAGCAGUGAAAUGCGUAGAGAUGUGGAGGAACACCGAUGGCGAAGGCAGCCCCCUGGGCUAACACUGACGCUCAUGCACGAAAGCGUGGGGAGCAAACAGG